rnacentral:rRNA from 1 species
UUGAACGCUGGCGGCAGGCCUAACACAUGCACGUCGAGCGGAUGAAGGGAGCUUGCUCCUGGAUUCAGCGGCGGACGGGUGAGUAAUGCCUAGGAAUCUGCCUGGUAGUGGGGGAUAACGUCCGGAAACGGGCGCUAAUACCGCAUACGUCCUGAGGGAGAAAGUGGGGGAUCUUCGGACCUCACGCUAUCAGAUGAGCCUAGGUCGGAUUAGCUAGUUGGUGGGGUAAAGGCCUACCAAGGCGACGAUCCGUAACUGGUCUGAGAGGAUGAUCAGUCACACUGGAACUGAGACACGGUCCAGACUCCUACGGGAGGCAGCAGUGGGGAAUAUUGGACAAUGGGCGAAAGCCUGAUCCAGCCAUGCCGCGUGUGUGAAGAAGGUCUUCGGAUUGUAAAGCACUUUAAGUUGGGAGGAAGGGCAGUAAGUUAAUACCUUGCUGUUUUGACGUUACCAACAGAAUAAGCACCGGCUAACUUCGUG